GCGCUCCUAGCUCAACGGGAUAGAGUGUCUGACUACGAAUCAGAAGGUUAGGGGUUCGAGUCCCUUUGGGCGCACCA
rnacentral:tRNA from 1 species